AAGCGCAUCUGGUGGAUGCCUUGGCGGCAACAGGCGAUGAAAGACGUAGUAGCCUGCGAUAAGCCUCGGGGAGCUGGCAAACAAGCUUUGAUCCGAGGAUUUCUGAAUGGGGCAACCCACGGCUUAGGCCGUAUCCCGCAAGGGAGGCUAACGCAGGGAACUGAAACAUCUAAGUACCUGCAGGAAAAGAAAUCAACCGAGAUUCCCCUAGUAGUGGCGAGCGAACGGGGAGUAGCCCUUAAGUUUUGUGCGGUUUAGUGGAACAGUCUGGAAAGUCUGGUCAUAGCGGGUGAUAGCCCCGUACACGAAAAACUGCAUGAGAUGAAAUCGAGUAAGGCGAGGCACGUGAAACCUUGUCUGAAUAUGGGGGGACCAUCCUCCAAGGCUAAAUACUCGUUGCCGACCGAUAGUGAACCAGUACCGUGAGGGAAAGGCGAAAAGAACCCCGGGAGGGGAGUGAAAUAGAUCCUGAAACCGCAUGCAUACAAGCAGUGGGAGCCGACUUGUUCGGUGACUGCGUACCUUUUGUAUAAUGGGUCAGCGACUUACAUUCAGUGGCAAGGUUAACCGAAUAGGGAAGCCGUAGAGAAAUCGAGUCCGAAUAGGGCGAAUCAGUCGCUGGGUGUAGACCCGAAACCAAGUGAUCUAUCCAUGGCCAGGAUGAAGGUGCCGUAACAGGUACUGGAGGUCCGAACCCACUACUGUUGCAAAAGUAGGGGAUGAGCUGUG
rnacentral:rRNA from 1 species